rnacentral:lncRNA from 1 species
CAUACCGAGAGAGAGAAAGCACAGGAUAGAUAGAUACCAUAGGGAUCCCCUAAUGAAGUCAAUCAUACAAAGUAGAUUAUCUCAUGGAGUGAGCAAAGACAGAUUCGUCAUGGUUCGGUUCUUUCAGUCAGAAGGGCUGCUCUUCCUGCUUUAGUCAAUCAAUGCGGAGGUACCUUUCUUCGCUUAGUAGCACUAUUCUUGCAAUAGGGGUUAGGUUAGGGCUAUCCUUUUCAUUCUCAGUCCUUGGGCGAUUCAGUCCAAAGAGGAAAGGCCAAAGGUAGUGCGGGUGACCCAGUUCUUUAGGUAUUGGCCCAAGUCGUCAAUUUUCGUAGGACUACCGGUGAUUCCACCUUGGAACGAGCAAGCUAUCUUCUUACGGGGUGGCGGCGGGCUAGCCCUUUUCCUCGCUGCUUUGAUCUGCUAUCAGACUGGAAUUGGGUGUAGCUGUACACAGGAGGGUAGGGGCUAAAGAAAGACAAAGCAGCCUACGUGGGCGAGGGUGGAAGGGAACCUCUGUUGGAGGAGGACUUUCUCGCCUAUAGGAAAGGUGAAAAUGCAACUCGUCUAUUAUUACAACGUUGUGCCUAAGACAUGCUAAUUGGAGAAGUACUGGACGGACGCCCAGAGGAAGAUAUCGCUCUUUCGAGAUUCAGUCCUCAGUCUCGUAGUCUCAAGUCAAGGUUUUUGGCAAGGCCAGCUAGUGCGGGUGAUGGGUCCAAGAUUCAAAGGAUCGAAAUCGAGCUCUAAACGCUGGGCCUACGUAGAGAAGUACGGACGCUUACUUGUAGCCAUUGCUCAAUCUGGCUCCGAAAGAGGAGUCUUAGCGCCUUCAGCCGGUCUUGUAUAGAAGGGUCUGGGCCCUAGUCGCUAGCUCUAUCCCACACGGCUUGGUCCAUUUGAUCAGUGAGUCUCGCUCUUCAUCUAGCAGAUUCGGAUAGUGAUCAGUAGCCCUCUCGUUCUUCCCAUAGAAAGCUUCUUCUAUGAAAGCAACUAAAGGUUUACUUAGCUUUAAAUAGGCUCCUUGAGUCAUGCUACUUUUAGGCAUCUCUUAUUUAUAUGAACAUUCACCUCCGAAGCUGAAGAUGGAUAUCGGACUGUGGGAUUAGUGUAGCGGCUAGUCUCCGGGUCUCCCGAGGUAGGGCUUAGCUAAGCCUUGCGUCAUUCAGGUCUCGUUGAUUUGGUUCUCUCAGUGGUUUCGUAUAAAUAAGAGGCAUUGUGCGUUCUCUUCGUUCAGGCACGUAAAGCAAGAACGAGUAGGAUAUCUGCUCUGUAGUGUAGCUGGCUUUACCGGAUAUCUUUCCUGCUCGGGGGUGCGGGCCCCUCAACGCCCCAUUACACCCGGGGAAAGCAAUGGAAGUUACGGAGCUGCUGUCCUGAAGUCAGUGAGCGGAAACAGCGCUCUUUUCUUCUUUCCAACCCAUUCCCAUCCUGUCCGUUGCAGCUGCGGUAGUUAUAAAAAAGUAGCUAGGCGGGGUGAGAAGAUUCAAAAGAGAAGCGCAGAGUUUUAGGAAAGGAGAUUAGGCAAGAAAAAGGAGAGCAUACCCAGAAAGAGAACGUCGACUAUCAAGACAAGGACCCCAAUCAGCAUAAGCAUGUAACUCUAGCUCAGAAGAAGAGGUAAAAGACAUAAUGAGAAGUUCCCUUAAGAUAUCGAUCGAUCCACUUUACGAUGUACUGGGCGGCAAUUGAGGAAUUGGCUUCAAAUGGUUACGGCAAAGGCAAUGUCCGGCCCUGUCAUGCAACAAUAAUGCAAGGCUCCUACCAUGCUGCGAUAAAGAGAUGGAUCCUCCGUCAGGGGUUACCCGUCAUCUUGAGAAGGCAGCGACAACGAUUGAUAUAGGAGUACUAACUGAGUUGAGUUUGCAUUGGCUAGAUUCAACUUUAUGAAAAGAUCAUGAAAGACUUCUGCUGACAUAAAUGUGGACUAGCUUCAGUCCGAUGAGCGUGAAUACCAAGAAAUCUUUCCUAAGUUCUUCAAGGCAUUUGUUUUUCCAAAAGACAUAGGCUUCUAUCGGGAGUUUUGUUUGUCGAUGAAUGUGAUCGGGUCUCUCGUUUUAUGCUUGAGAAAAAGCCUUCCCGAUUAUCUGCUUCAUGAAUGGAAAGGUGGAACCAAGGAAGAAAACUGAAGACCGAAAAUUCUAAGAGGAGGAUCCCCAGAGGUCAAUAUCUGGAAUUGAGCCCGCCUAUCAUAAGUCUGAGUUAGUUGGGAGAGCGAGAUAAAGACAAAUACCCAAUGGACGGUGAAAAAGCUUUCCUGCACGCCCUUCUGUCUUGCAGCCUUGAUGCUCAGUUCUAUUCUCUCUAUUCUCUCGCACACUUGCUCUUUAGCCGGGAGGGAGGUGCUUUUUCUGGUUUGGUUUGUUUAGAUAGGAAGUGCGCUUGUAGUGCUUCUAGUAACGAUUUUGAAGUGAAAUAUCUUUCUGUUUAAGGAGUAUGAUUGCUUCUUUCUUCGGCUUAAAAGCUAGGGCUUGUACUUUGUUAUCAGUACCUGUUUUAGAACAAUAUAAUCUCUUCUCAAUGUCCGGGUCUUUCCCCUGCCCUCUCUCUCGAUGUAGUGCCUUUCACUCUGCUCCGUCAACACUUUAUCGUAAUGCCGGAAGGUAGGAUUUCCGGUUUUUUCCCAAGCUAUGAAUCCUCAUAAAUGGCAUAGUACAAAGAGUGGUAUGGAUUGUGUCUUUGAUGUUCUAUCCGCAAACACGAUGAAAAAGGUAGCCGAACCACCUCCAAAAAGUGCUAGCGUACAAGAAGGUUUCGAAGAACGAACGAAUGUGAGAGGAGCGAAGAAAGUCAAAUACGAGUGAAGGGAAGUGCGCCGGGAAAGCAGUUAGCUUCUUUGGUUUUGGUUACGAGGUGACGAUCACAACCAAAGAAGGGUUAAGGCUAACGGGGUCUUUCUUUCGUAUCAAGAAAGAUAAAGGAAAGAUCUCCUAGCGAAACCAUGCUAGUUAGUUUCACAUACCUUAGGCUUAGGAGGGGAAAGACAUAGUCCUGUAAUGAGGUGAACAACUGGACGUUGAAAGGGAAUUUCUUUCUCUUUACUUUAGGAUUUAGGACAGAUCGGGUCAUAACGCACUCUUUGCUAUUUCUUAGCUAUUUUCCGUGGUCUCAGAGCCAAUGAGCCGAGUGGAUCUCAUGGCGGUUGUACUUGUACAUCAAGUGAAUCGGGUUAACGAUGUUAUGGGACUCCGACUCCAAUACCACUUAUUUCGCACCUCUCAUACGAGAUAGAACUCGAACUAAGGGCACACGCUCUGAGUUGGUAGUGCCAUGGCACAUAAUGAGAUCUUUCUCUUCUAUCUUACCCAAGAAGCCGGUAUAAACGAAACGGUCUAGGGCAUAUACGCACCCAUAGACACUAAAGCAAAGCGUUGGUCAAAAAAUUCUUGGUGUGACUCCCAGCGGAUCAAUGGUUUUUAGCUGCCCAAGGAAAACCUUUACGAGACCUUUUUACUGGUCUUCUCGCGCCUAUGCCACUCGGAGUUCAGAGUGUUGUUAGCUGGUUUAACUGAGUCAACCGGGCAUAAUGC